rnacentral:rRNA from 1 species
UACGUAGGGGGCUAGCGUUGUCCGGAUUUAUUGGGCGUAAAGAGCGUGUAGGCGGCCAGGUAGGUCUGGUGUGAAAACUCGAGGCUUAACCUCGAGAUGUCAUCGGAAACCAUCUGGCUAGAGUCCGGAAGAGGAGAGUGGAAUUCCUGGUGUAGCGGUGAAAUGCGCAGAUAUCAGGAGGAACACCGGUGGCGAAGGCGGAUCUCUGGGCCGAUACUGACGCUGAGGAGCGAAAGCGUGGGGAGCGAACAGG